ACGGAAGGCAGCAGUAGGGAAUCUUCCACAAUGGACGAAAGUCUGAUGGAGCAACGCCGCGUGAGUGAUGAAGGUUUUCGGAUCGUAAAACUCUGUUGUAAGGGAAGAACAAGUACGUUAGGAAAUGAACGUACCUUGACGGUACCUUAUUAGAAAGCCACGGCUAACUACGUGCCAGCAGCCGCGGUAAUACGUAGGUGGCAAGCGUUGUCCGGAUUUAUUGGGCGUAAAGCGCGCGCAGGCGGUUUCUUAAGUCUGAUGUGAAAGCCCACGGCUUAACCGUGGAGGGUCAUUGGAAACUGGGAGACUUGAGUGCAGAAGAGGAAAGUGGAAUUCCAAGUGUAGCGGUGAAAUGCGUAGAGAUUUGGAGGAACACCAGUGGCGAAGGCGACUUUCUGGUCUGCAACUGACGCUGAGGCGCGAAAGCAUGGGGAGCAAACAGGAUUAGAUACCCUGGUA
rnacentral:rRNA from 1 species